rnacentral:rRNA from 1 species
AGCGAACGCUGGCGGCAGGCCUAACACAUGCAAGUCGAACGAACCUUUCGGGGUUAGUGGCGGACGGGUGAGUAACACGUGGGAACGUGCCUUUAGGUGCGGAAUAACUCAGGGAAACUUGUGCUAAUACCGAAUGUGCCCUUCGGGGGGAAGAUCUAUCGCCUUUAGAGCGGCCCGCGUCUGAUUAGCUAGUUGGUUGAGGUAAUGGCUCACCAAGGCGACGAUCAGUAGCUGGUCUGAGAGGAUGAUCAGCCACAUUGGGACUGAGACACGGCCCAAACUCCUACGGGAGGCAGCAGUGGGGAAUCUUGCGCAAUGGGCGAAAGCCUGACGCAGCCAUGCCGCGUGAAUGAUGAAGGUCUUAGGAUUGUAAAAUUCUUUCACCGGGGACGAUAAUGACGGUACCCGGAGAAGAAGCCCCGGCUAACUUCGUG